GAGGGUGCGAGGACGAUGGAAUACAGCUUGUAGGAAGAGUGAAAAGCAGACCGUUCGCCUGAACCAGGAUGGCCGAGUGGUUAAGGCGUUGGACUUAAGAUCCAAUGGACAAUGUCCGCGUGGGUUCGAACCCCACUCCUGCUAGGGUGGGCCCUCUCUGAUUAGAAGAUCCAGAAGCCCAAGGGGGCAAACACAAUCUUCAUGAAGAAGUAGCAUUUCCAUCACCUGUUGUCAUCAAAUAAAUCUAGAUAUUUUCUCCUGGAUUCGUUCAUUGUUUGUAUUGUUGAGACUUCUGGUGGCCCACCUUCCCCCAUCUAUUCUCCACUUCAUCCAAAGUAGUUGAAGCACAAUGUUUGGCAGGGACACAUUGCUGCCUGGAAUAAAGACCACAUUGUACAACUUUUCUCUUAGCUGCAGGCAGCAGUGUGUGUAAGAUUUGGCCAGUGACAUAGGUAGAAGUGCUACUGGAAAACUUCCAAGAAAACAUCCUUAAAGGACUAUGUGAGCAUGCCCUUUGCUCCUGAGAACAUGGAUAUGGUGACUGGUCACACUGGACCAGGGGAAGGAGGCCACCGCCUGGGGUUGGGAGAAAAGAAAGCUAAAAGGAGCUUUUUCCUGAGGUCUUAUCUUAGUAAAGCAAAACCACCAUCACGGCUCAGGACUACCGAAAUUCAGAUGUCCAUGAAGACUGGAAUAAACUGUUAUUUGGGGAAUCCAAAUUUCUUUUAUCUGCAGCCACUCGUCCUACUUGAUAGUAGCACAAAUCAGUAUAAAUAUUAAUAUUAGUAUAAGAAAUACUAGAAAGAAGUCAUUGACCAUUGCUCUAUACUGACACUUCAGCUUUUUCUUUUCUUUUCUUUUUUAAGAUUUCAUUCAUUUAUUUCACAGAGAGAGAGAGAGAAAGAGAGCAUGCACACAAGCAGGGAGAGCGGCAGGCAGAGGGAGAGAAAGAAGCAGGCUCCCCACAGAGUGGGGAGCCCGAUGUGGGACUCGAUCCCAGGACCCUGGGAUCAUGACCUGAGCUGAAGGGAGACGCUUAACCGACUGAGCCACCCAGGUGCCCUAGCUUUUUCUUUUUAUCACAUGUCCUUUCAGUCUUGCCCUGAAAUACUGACAUAUAAUUUAAGAGAAUUGUCAAAUUUCCAACCUGCCUACAUGAAUAUUAACAUAGAAAAAAAUGGUCACAUGAUUAAUUUUUUUUUCCCUAAGCGAAAUUACAGCCAAUGAUACCAACAUUAAGAUGUCAGGCAAAGCAGACAGCAGACUCUACAUACUUUCUUUUUUUUCUUUUUAAGUUUAGGACACUAAAGGAGCAACAGAGUUUCUGAAUCUGAAGGCUCUGGUCCCCUGUAUGUGUUCCUCCUCUCUGAAUCCCUCCAUUCUCUGCUUCCCCAGAGAUUAAAACUUAGGAGAGAGAUGGGUGGCUUAGUUGGUUGAGCAUUUGGCUCUUGGUUUUGGCUCAGGUCAUGAUCUCAUGGGUCGUGACAUCAAGACCCACACUAGGCUCUGCAUUCAACUCAGAGUCUGCUUGGGAUUCUUUCCAUCUUCCUCUCCCUGCCGCCCUGUCCUCCACUCCCCCCAGGCUCACACGUGUGUGUGUGCACGUGCGUGCGCGUGCUCUCUCUCUCUCAAAUAAAUCUUAAAAAAAAAAACAACUCAGGAGAGAGAUAGGCUAGAGACAUAAGAUGGGAAUCAUUAAUCUAAAGGUGACAAUGAAAGCAAAGGAAUGAAAAAAAAUUACACAGGAGUAAGGAGAUGAGUAAGAAGAGAGUCCCUGAUGGAUUUCUGCAGAAAGUUCACAUUUAAGUAAUGCAUAGAGAAAGAGAUCUUCUUAAUGAAGACUGUGAAGGAGUGGUUAGAGAUGCUGAAGAAAAACAAAACAUUAUCAAUGUCUUCUAUUGAUCAACUGAUAAACAGCAUCAACUUUCUGUGAUCUGGAAAAUAAGACAUGAAUUGAUAGAUGGUCACUUGGAUCUAGCAACUAGGAGGCCAUCAGUGAUGACCAACACACAAGCAGUUUCAGGUGGCAGGAAUGGGGCAUGGGGAGAGGUUCAGGAAGAGGUGGGGCAGGGCAAGAUUCUGUGCAUAGAUGUAUCCAAGACUAUUUCCAGCACACAAACUAUUGGGCUGCUCUUUGUUUGCAUUCAAUGGCAAAGUCAGUUAAAAAGUCAGUUGUUUGACUGAGUGGACCUUCCAAGUCCUUUGAAGCAAAUUAAUAUUUGUGUGCAAACCUAGUCUAUGGUAAAAGAAAGAGAAAACUGGAAAGCAGCCUUUCUUGGAGGGUAAAAUCUCCUUUAUGGCACCACAGUCCUGCCAAAGUGCCUCUCAGGGGCAUCUGGAAAGGGAAUGGAAGCCACCACUUGCUUGAAUAGUCACAUUAGCCUUGAAAGGCAUUAGACAUCUAAGCAAAUGCUCUACUGCUUCCAGAAUUAAGCACUUACCACACGGAGGGAGGCUGAAAAGUUAGAAAGAAGAAACCCGGGCAAAGAGCCUGAGAAACUGACCUACCUUUUGAGAGCUAGAAUUAGGAUGGAAAUUUGGAACUUGGAAGACUUUCUGGUUUUUCCCACUGUUUCUAUUUUCUGUAAUUAUUUCCUUUUUGUAAAAGCUUGCUAUUUUGUAAAGUUCUCUGAUAUGUAAAGACAGUUUCUUCUUAUUAUCUCUGUUUCUCAGUGCUUUGUGUUAUCAUGUGCUAAAUAUAUUUCACCAUUUUAUUUACUUCGGGCUGAAGUGCUGACGCCAUUAUGUGACUUUUCCACAUCCAAAUUCGAGCUGCACAUUUCAAAGAUAAAUCACUGUAAUUAUUUAUCCUCUUCAGCAGCAGGAGGUGUAAAAGCCAAACUAAUAUGCACCUUUAGCCCAUUUGAAUGAGUCUUUGAAAACAAAUUGCUCAGAACUCUUAACUCUGACUCUGUAUUUCUAGAUCCCCUAAUAGUAUGAGAUAAUUGAGGUUUGUGGAAUGAGUUGGGAAAUUUUACUUAUUUUUCAAAGACUCCCAACCAUAGCUUCAUAUUUAUUAGGAUUCUUAUUGAGUCCUACAGGGUCAGUCCUCAGGGUUGGUCAGUCCUCACCAACAACCUCAGAAAGAACCUGAAAACUAGAGGUUUGGAAUUCAGAGUGAACACUUUCGAAGCUAGGGCUCAAGAAGUUUCUAUUUGGUUGCUUUGGUUUAUUUUUAGAAGGCAAUUCUUGUCUCCCUAGCACUUUUCUUAGGUAACUUAAAAUGCAAUCAUUAUCACAAAUUCGAAUUUCCUUCCCUUCCUGAUGGCAGAAAAUGAAGUUUGCUAAAAUUUAUUUCCUAUUCCACUCUGAGGUAGAAAGAGAAGUUUUCUGAAAAAUUCUUUCCUUAAGUGGAUGGAUAAAAAAUUACCCACAUUGUAACUUGACCUGACUUUGAAAGGGUAAUAUGCAUAAAGGCAAUCACUAUUUUUAUUCAGGAAAUGUACCAUCAGGGCCUUCAUGUCAAAUGCAACCUCCCUUACCCCAACAGAGUUGCCAAGUUCUACUAAUUUAUUUUAUUUUAUUUUUUUUCCCUGCUGGACAAAUUUCUUGGUUCAUUGUUAGAGAGUUCCUCCCAGGUUCUUGGGAAAAACCUUGGCUGGUCAGAAGUGGUUCAUGGCUUCCUUCUCUCUACCUCUGCCUUUUUUAUUUUAAAUACUUUCAAAAUGCAAUCUCUUAAUCACAUGCUAUACAAGGAAAUCUUGAUGGAAAAUACUAGGGUUUAAAAUUUCUCACAUAAGCAAAUUUUUUUAGAUGAUGGAAGUUAAUCAUAAGCAGAAGCCAAGAAUAUAAUUUGCAGAAUUCCAAUUUGUUGAAGGCUAGUUUUCCAAAAGCUGAUUUAUAGAAUAUUCUAAUAUAUCACAUUUAUGUGAGUAUUGUAAAUUUUUAAAAAUAUUCAAUUUCUCAAAAUUUAGCAUGUUCUAUGGGAAUCCAUCAUACUUUUUUCUUAAUAUACAGGAUCAUUUUAGGUAAAUUCUGAUAUUCAUUUUAGAUGGUUUUAAACUUGAAAUAAAAAUUUAAAGCUGACAGAGAUGUGACAAUAUUCCUGUUAAAGCUAACAAAUAUGUCUGAAAUACCAAUAAAUCUGCUAAGUUGUUUGUUUGGUAAAUUUGCUUGAUGCUAAUUUAAUGUGUGGUGACUAGAUUAAGACAUGUGUCCCCUGUAUAGUGCGGUAUGUACCCUGCAUAUAUCCAGGGCAUUAUUCACAUGAACUAUGUUGUGAAUGGGUCCACUCACAGUUGUGCAGCACAGAGACCCUAGACCCAAGAUAGAUCAUGACCCUAACCCUAACCCUAGCCCCAACCAAGUGGCAUGUUGGGAGCUCCAUUAACCAGACCAACAAUCCCAAUCUAAUUUGGAGGAACACACAUAUCCUAGAAGUUCAAAUUAAGAGGAUCAAGCAAGGCCAGAAGCAUAGCUUGUAGGAUAAGUUAGAAUUAUCUGGAGGAGAUUUUAAAAAUUCUUAUAUCCAAGUUGCACCCCAGACCAAUUAGUUCUUGGUAGGAUCCAAGCAUGAACUUUUUUUUUAAAGAUUUUAUUUAUUUAUUUAUUCAUUUGUUUAUUUAUUUAUUUGAG